rnacentral:rRNA from 1 species
AGCAAGGCAGCAAUCGAGUGAAUCACCGGGAGUGUAGUUAACUACAUGACCGGUGUGAACGAGAGCAGCUAACGCCGCUGCGGUUCGAAGGACGAAGUCAUAGCGCUAAAUGCGGAAGAGAUAAGUGCUGAAAGCAUCUAAGCACGAAACUUGCCCCGAGAUGAGUUCUCCCUGAGACUUUAAGUCUCCUGAAGGAACGUUAAAGACGAUGACGUUGAUAGGCCGGGUGUGUAAGCGCAGCGAUGCGUUGAGCUAACCGGUACUAAUGAACCGUGAGGGAAAGGCGA